rnacentral:rRNA from 1 species
CACGUAGGGGGCAAGCGUUGUCCGGAUUUAUUGGGCGUAAAGAGCUCGUAGGUGGCUGAGUAAGUCGGAUGUUAAAUCCCCAGGCUCAACCUGGGACACCACCCGAUACUGCUCUGGCUAGAGUCCGGUAGGGGAGCGUGGAAUUCCGGGUGUAGCGGUGGAAUGCGUAGAGAUCCGGAAGAACACCGGUGGCGAAGGCGGUCUGCUGGGCAGUUGCUGACGCUGAUGCGCGACAGCGUGGGGAGCAAACAGG